rnacentral:rRNA from 1 species
AUACUUGGUUGGGCUGUUGCUGGCUUCUUGGAGCAUGUGCACGCCUAGCACCAAUUUUUACCACCUGUGCACCAUUUGUGGACCUGGAUACCUCUCGAGGAAACUCGGUUGGAGGACUGCUGUGCGAAAGCCAGCUUUCCUUACAUUUCCGGUUCAUCUUUUCACAUACCCCAUACGAAUGUAACAGACUGUUGUUUACUGGCCUUUGUGCCUUUAAUCAAAUACAACUUUCAGCAACGGAUCUCUUGGCUCUCGCAUCGAUGAAGAACGCAGCGAAAUGCGAUAAGUAAUGUGAAUUGCAGAAUUCAGUGAAUCAUCGAAUCUUUGAACGCACCUGGCGCUCCCUGGUAUUCCGGGGAGCAUGUCUGUUUGAGUGUCAUUAAAUUCUCAACCUUUCCAGCUUUUUUUGAGCUUGGUCAGGCUUGGAUGUGGGGGUUGCGGGCUUCUCAGAAGUCGGCUCUCCUCAAAUGCAUUAGUGAGACCUUUGUUGACCAUCUCUUGGUGUGAUAAUUAUCUACGCCGCUAGAGUGUCAGCCUCAACUUGUUUGAGAGGUUCCGCUUCUAAUCGUCCUUGGGGACAACUUCUGACAAUUUGACCUCAAAUCAGGCAAGACUACCCGCUGAACUUAAGCAUA